rnacentral:lncRNA from 1 species
CUUAACCAUCAUUUUCUUAAGUUUUGCCAAUGAUGAUUUUGUCUGCAAAAUGUAUGCUCUGUGGAUUCAAGCCCCUGUUUCAGGGAGAACCUCUUGAUGAAGCAGAUAUAAUGUGACAUCAAUUGACAAAUCUGAGACAAUAGUUUGUGCUAGUGGAUUUAAUUGAGAUUUGAGUUUUUAUUUAGCUUCCUUAGUUGCAUGAUAUGUAUAAAUUAUAUAUCGUUUUCCUAUGAUGAUCCUGUCUGCAAAAUGGAUGCCCUGUGGACUCAAGCCCCUGUUUCAGGGAGAACCUCUUGAGAAAGCAGAUGUAAAAUGACAUGAAAUGACAAAUCUGAGAUUUUCCAUAUUGUGCUUCCUAGUAUUAUGACAUCAAUCGACAAAUCUGAGGUAUUCCAUGACAUUGUGCUUCCUGCUGAAGCAAAAGGCUAUGAUGAGAAAAGUCAUGCACCACUCUGAAGAGAUUCAUCUCUUUGUGCUGAUAAACAAACUUACAACCCAUUUUACAUCUGAGCCACCUCUUGGAUACCUACUUUCGUAUUUCUUUAUUUGCUUUUCAUGCCAUAGAUGGUAGUUUUUAUAAACCAGUUUGGGGAAAUAAUGUACAUUACCAGAUGAUGAGGGUUGCCCAAGUGCAAUCCUACCAUGAUGCGGACUGAAAUUUCAUUGAGGUCAAAUACAUUUGCCGCUGAUGGUUCUUACUUUACAAUCCCGCAUAUUUUGAAUGCCAGCGCAGUUCUUGGUAACUUCUUUCGUGAACCUUGUUGCAUUGCAUGUGAAUUACUUUGUUUUCUGUUGAUAUUUAUGUCUGCAAAAUAGGUGCUUUGUAGAAGCAAAGGCUAUGAUGAGAAAAGUCAUGCACCACUCUGAAGAGAUUUAUCUCCUUGUGCUGAUAAACAAACUUACAACCCAUUUUACAUCUGAGCCGCCUUACGUGUUUGUAUUUUCUGAUUUGUCUAUUGGUUUUUGAGAAACCUAGUAUUUUAAGGUAAUAACUGUAUUGGAGGGAUAAUAACAGAACCAGAUGAUGAGGAUUGCCUAUGAGCGAUCCUACCAUGAUGCGGACUGAAUUUACAUUGAGGUCAAAUACAUUUGCCGCUGAUGGUUCUUUCCAAUCCCCCAAAUCUUGAAUGGAUUUUCCCCUUGGUUUUCCAGUGAUGAUAAUGGCUAUGAUGAGAAAAGUCAUGCACCACUCUGAAGAGAUUUAUCUCUUUGUGCUGAUAAACAAACUUACAACCCAUUUUAUUUCUGAGCCAUCUCAUGACUUUUGUAUUUUCUGAUUUGUUUAUUGGUUUUGAGAAACCGUUUUCAGCUUUUGCCUUUGUGAGAAUACUGUAGUUUUGAAACUGUAAGUCUUGGAUAUUAACUGGAUUUGGAGGAAUAAUGUAUAGAACCAGAUGAUGAGGGUUGCCUGUGAGCGAUCCUACCAUGAUGCGGACUGAAUUACAUUGAGGUCAAAACAUUUGCCGCUGAUGGUUCUUCUUCCCAAUCCUCCAUAUCUUUCAAUGGUUUUUCCUCAUUGUUAUGAAUGUACUGGGAAUUUGGUUCAAAACAAAUGGAGUGGCCUCUAGUUUGACAACCUUGUUGCAUUGUAGAGGAAUGCUCAAGUCCCUGUUUUCACUGAAUUACUUGCGGUUUUGCCAAUGAUGUUUCUGUCUGCAAAAUGGACUCUCGAGCCCCUGUUUCCAGGGAGAACCUCUCGAGAAAAUGACAUCAAUCGACAAACCUGAGGCAUUGUAAAACCAAAAAACUUUUACUGGAGCUUGUAUUUCCUAAUUAAGUGUUUCAUCUCUUCUUUUUUUGACAAUUGUACUCGCCAAUCAUGCAUCAGCUUUGCUUACAUGUGGUUUCUCAAAUGUAUUUUCUUUCUCCUGAUUGCAGAAAGCCAUUUCAUGCGCAAAGAGCUGCUGAACCUACUGGAUGAUAUGAAGCAUAUGGUGCUCUCCUUCUGGAUCAUGAUUGUAGCCUUGUACCAAUGAUACAGAGGGAACAUUGUACUGUGAUCUGUAGGCUUGCCUGGUCAUGUUGGCCAUAGUCUCUUGUAAUUCUUGUGAGAAUUAUUGACAUGCACAUAUUUUAACUACCUCCCAUUUGUUGUUGUGCCUGAAAUUUUGGGGGCAAUCAUGCCUGAAGUGUGGACGGUUAGACCAGCACUCGAUAAAAUUUGUUUUGAUGCCCUCUUCUAUGAUCAAAAUGAGCAUUGUGGUGUAAGAUCACAUUUGUUGCACAUACAUGCGAUGGUCAUCUUAGCCCUUGCCUCAAACUUUUUUUUUUUUGAACGUAUAUGGUGCUUAAAUAACAAAACAGUUGAACCCAAAAAAUUGAACUAAAAUGGUGCCUAUUUUGAACUAAAACGAACUAAUCUUUGAUAGAGCUUGGUUUUGGGUUCAACUGAUAAUGUUGGACCUGGAGCUCGCCUUGAACCCAAAACUGAGUUGUCGCCUCUUCGAAUGUAAUGUUGGACCUGGAGCCGAGCAUGGUGCUUGGGGGAAGUUUCUCAUUUUUGGCAAGAGGGGCGUUUGUAAAUCCUGAAAUUUUAUUGAAUUCGAAAAUUUAGGUGGAGCGGUAAAUAAGUUAAAUCUAAAAAACGGUUUUUAGUGAGUUAGAACAUGAUUUGGGCCGUCGUGCGGUUGUGCUUUGGUGGUCAACGAUGGACACAUGGCGCUGCAACAAUGGUUCCGAUGAUUUGCGCAUCCUAGGUGGCCCAAAAAUGUUGGCCUUUAUCUUUUUGGGGAUUGAUGAGGUCUGUGCCCAAGCUUUGAACCGACUCAUGUCAGUGCCUGCAUUGGCGGUGCCUUUGGGUGCUCUCUUUGGAGGCAUUGCGGCUCUUUGGGUAAAAAGCUAAGCUCUGGAUAGUUUUCAGAGCGGGCGACGGCGGUGUCUUCAUCGUCUCCCCUUUAGAGGCGUUGCUUGGGAGAGCUAGUUUGCUUGUUGUGCGUGGUUUCUCCUUCGUCGGGUUUGGAGGAUGUCGGGGCAGUGGCCCCGGGAGGCUGAUGUGCGUCGAGGCUAUGGCCUCGGGCAAUGAUGUGGGGAGACGACUCCAUGAGGCGGGGUAAAGACUCAACCUUCGCUUGGGUGGCAGGUUUUUCGGCUCGGUCGACGCACCCGGUUUGACUUUAUAUCCGGGCGAUGGCUCCAGAUGUGGUGGGGUAGCAGUCGUGUUUGCGGGUGGUUGCCCUGAGCGGCUUGGGUUGGGGUGGUCAGGUCGUGUGGAGUGGCAACUCGAGGGCAAGCGGCGGCAUGUCGGGGUGGUGGCCGCGGAAGACUGUGUUGGUGAACCGCGCAGGAUGUGACAGCGUGGAUGGAAGUCGGGGUAGUGGCCCCGACCCCCGAGAGUUCAGCAACAUCGAUUGUGUUGACCCCAUGUCGCGUGGCGGCGCGGUUGCUCUCAACAUUGGUCGUCGACAUGUCGAACGUCACAUUUGGCGCAGAGUCCUAUGGAGGGCUUGCAUCUUCACCGCUGCAGGGGUGUCUCGUGUCUGCUUUUUGACAGUGGUGGGAGGCCGACUAGCAUGGUGGAGUGGGUCACCGUUGGUUUGAUUGUAAUUUGUUGGCGUGUUUCUGUGAUGUUUUGUCCCGCCGUUGAUGAGAGUGGGUGUGGCCCCAUUAUGUCUGUUUUUGAGUGGGCUUUCGCCAUGUGCCGAGAGCGGGUGCGGCCAUGCGGAGUCUUUGCUCGAGUAGGUUUGGUCAUGUUUGUAUCGGUUUUCACUAGAUUUUUUGUAAUUAACCGUGCAAUAUUUUUCUUCUUAGUUAUUUAAAUGGACAAACGCCGGAUGCGCGUUGAUUUAGCAAGAACAAUAUGCUUCUCUUCAGCUGCUCAACAAUAAAUAAAAGCGACGAUCCACCAGCACAAGCGGAUGCACGAGGCUAGCUAGGGAAUGCAAUGCAUGGAAGCUUCAUCGAUCAUCCGAGUUGCGUUUUGAACCGAGUUCUCCCCGCCCCCCAACGAUUUUCCUCCUCCGCCUCUCCCCGCUUCCAGAUGGCGCCACAUCGUACGUGCCUAUGCGCGCGCCCAAGUUCCCGACGGCCGGCGACGACGGCGCUCGCAUCCCGGUCCUGCUCGCCCUCGCCGCCGCCGCCGUCGUACACCCCGGGCGCGCGCUCGCCUCCGUCCCGCUGCGGCAUCAUGCUGGCAGACCACCCCUUCUUCCCUGGCUUCGGCGUGGGCGACGAGCGCUGCAGCCGGCCGUAUGGCGGGCACUACGAGGAGUACACAUCGCAGGAUUACACUCCGUCGGCCCCUCCGCCGUCGCCGGAUCACACUUCGCCGGGCCCUCCGCCGUCGCCCGACUACGCUCCCUCGUGCCCUCCGCCGUCGCCGGAUUACUCUCCCUCGGGCCCUCCGGCGUCGCCGGAUUACGCUGCCUCGGGCCGUCCGCCGUCGCCGGAUUACGCUCCCUCGUGCCCUCCGCCGUCGCCGGAUUACGCUGCCUCGGGCCGUCCGCCGUCGCCGGAUUACGCUCCCUCGUGCCCUCCGCCGUCGCCGGAUUACACUUGGUCACCAGAGCCUGCUGCUUGGUUCGCUUCCCCGGCGACGACGCCUUCUCCGCGACCCGCGUCCCCAGACCCAGAGUACACGCCGUCAGAGCACGCUGCUGCUGCAUCACCUUACUACACUUGGUCAACUCCUCCUCCGCACGCUUCUUCUCCGGAUUACACGCCCAAUACGCCGUCUCCGCCCCCCUGGUGCUGGUGCUGCUCUCCGGCGCCGAGUCGCGCGCGCCGCCGUAUCACACACCGCCGCCUCCUUCUGGCGGCGCCGCGUCGCCGGACUACACGCCCAGCAUGCUGCCUCUGUUGCCCAUGGUGUUAAUUAGAAGCCUUGUCGCCCACGUCGGCACCGCGUCGCAGCCACCAGAGGAGAUCAAUCGCGGCGGACGUCGGCGAGCCUUGGGAUGUUGGCAUCUUGUAAACUGUAAUAGGAGAGAAACAUAUUGACAUAUUGUAUUACUCUGCAUCAAAAGAUGAAUAUAUUGGUAUAGCUUUUGUUGAAGAUGCGAGAUUGUUCUCUUCUUUUGCUUCCUGUUUUUUAUGGCCGGAGCCCUUUGUUUCUGAUGGAUGCAAAUUGUAAUUGCCUACGUGAUUUGAUGAAAGUCAUCCUGGCACUUGUCAUGUUCUGUGACUGUCAUGUCUGAGAGAAGCAUAUGGUCGCCCUGCAAAGACAAUAGGGAUGCAUAAUAAUGAUGUAGUACAAACAAAUCUGUGUGGCUUGCACAUAAAAUUUCAAGUGAACAUCUCUCAAAAAAAAAUCCAACUGGACAAAAAAUUAGAUGAACCUUUUCCGAGUAAAGCAAGCAGCAUUGCAGAAAUGUUACUCAUACAUUAAAAAUCAAAAUUAUUUUAUGUAGACCUUUAUUUGGUUGUGCACAUAGCCAACUGAAAGUUUUAACAUAGACGCACAACAUUCUUCUCGGUUUCAUCAGAAUAUUUCUUUGCUCAUAGCGAGCCCGAGAAGGAAGCUCGAUCAUGUUCUCUUGGAAAUGCAUACUUUGUUAGAUAGUUCCUUACCUACUUCUUUCAAAUAUUGCAGCAUUUGUUUGGUCUCAUUGACAAGCAUUGUGUUUCAACCAAAGCAGCCACUUUCCCGCAUACUGGUACUUUCAAGUAUUCAUCGGUGGCCUCCAGAUUGCAGAACUUUUUAUCUAAAAUUUGUCUUCACAAUAACUGCACAACGCCCUGGAAUGCAUCAUGGUAAAUGUUUCUGGAUGAGAAUCCCAACAGCAGUAUAGCACUGAUCCUUCACGCUCUGUUCAUCUUUCUUUUGAUGGCUCUAGCUGGAGCAGAAAAAAAAACAUAGACGAGGAAUUAAGGUAAAUAUUUUUUUACAGGAGAGAUCGAGGCAUGUGCAAUGUAUUUUUACAGUCAGCAGUUCCUGGGAGAGGCACAAAACAUGCUUAAUAGCCCUGAAGUAAAAUCAAAUAGGUUUUUCUUGCAACGGUCGCUAAAUUUUCAAAAUGCAAAUGCAAGCAUUUAACUAAGAGCAAUCCUAGUUUUCUGUAACAUUAUGAAGAGAGAGAGAGAGAGAUCAUAGGUUAGUUGAAAUUUUAAGAGUGAACAAAAUAGUAAGUAUCAUCGACAGAGAGAAAAUGCAGUGCAUCAACUAUCUCACAGUUAUUAAACAAACUAUUUUAUAUCUGGUUUGUGUUGCACUCCUUGGUCACGCCUUCUUGUUGCAUAAAUGCAUAAACGCUGAGAUUGGGUAUUCCCAGAGGCAAGCAGCCAAGUACUUGGCCACAAACUUGGAUACUCUGAAUAGGCCUGAAUAUGUGAUGUGUAACAAAAAAGGGGGAAACUCAUAUGACCCUCAGGCCUCAAACUUGUCAUUUUAAUUUUGAAUGUGGCAUCAUCAAACAGCAGCGAUGAGUGGUACGAAGUUUAAAGCAUACUGUAUCAAUUGUCAGCUGAAAUUCUCACAAGGCUGGUACUUUACCGGAAGCAAUUUUAUGUGCUCCCUUAAUUUCCCUUUCCCCGAGAAGGGAGACACAAUUAACAAAAUCGUCGAAACAUCAAGUGACAGCUGUUUUGCAUCAAGUUUAGCCAGAUAAGUUGCAGCCUCUGCAACUGCACAUUUUUCCAGCAACACCCUGACCGCUUGAUUUAGUAGUCUGGGACUUAUGUUUUGAUCCUGUCCCUUGAACAACAAUGGGCGGCCCACAUUUCCUGGAAUCUAGUAGCACACAAGAUCUCUCGUGUGCGAGGCUCAUGUACCAAGCAAUUUUGUUUCCCCUUGACUGCUCAAAUCUGGAAGAGUUUUAAGCUUUUUGGCUCCAGAACAAUGUCAAAAUUCAUUCCUGUUGGUGUGGAGCCUUUUCAGAACAUGGUCUAGAGCAUGAUGCGAUGCCUCGGUGUAGCCUAUGGCAUGUCUUCGCACUUCCAGUAAAUCUUUCGCACCUCUUCAUGUCUUUGCACCACUGAGAAGUGAGAACAAACAUCAGCGGCUCAGGCAAACAGCGUCUGAAACUUCACUCUUCUCUUGAUGCUGCCAGAUCUUUCAUACCCAAUGCCUAUCUUACUAUGCACCAGCUUGACAGCUAGAUCAGUAUUCCCCGCUUUCCUGAGUGCGUUGAUCAUCAUUGUUCGAACCCUGCCAGGUAUCUCACGGCCCUUUCCUACGAUGCCAUCUGCCAAUUUGCAGGCCUGCUUGAAUCUGCCGGCCCUGCACAGAGCAUUGAUCAUGUCCUCGUGUGCCGUCUCAGGAAUCACACCCAUUGGAGCCAGUUCAUCCAAUAUCCUGCAUGCUCGGCUGUAUUUGCCAGAAAGACAUAGCCCGUUGGCAAGGGCCCUGAAAGCUGCAGCUGUGGGAGUGAUCCCCUUGUCGAUCAUCGCAUCCCACAACUUCAGCGCCUCCUCAUUCUUGUGUUCCUUGAACAAACCAUCGAUCAGUAUGGUAUACGUGUAAACAGUCUGAUCACAGCCAUCAUCUUCCAUUCUCUUGUACAAGGCACAAGCAUCAUCCGUCCUUCCUGCUUUAGCUAAACCAUCAAUCAGCACGUUGUAGCAAUAUGAGUCCGGCACAAAACCUUUAACUUUCAUCUCCUCGAAGAGCUCCUGUGCUUGGUCGACCAUUCCAGCUUUCCCAAAGCCAUCAAUCAGGCUUGUAUAGAAGAUAGGGUUCACUGCAAUACCUUUCUCCACACAACUCCUGAAACAUGAAAUGGCCUCAUCCAGCCUCCCAAACCGGCACAAGCAGUUAACAAUCACUCCAUAUGUGACGGCGUCGAGCUCAAGCCCGCUACUCUUCAUCCUCUCAAAGAGUGACAUUGCCUCGGUCUCCCUUCCAAAUUUACCCAUUGAAUCAAUGAGCGCAGUGUACAUGGCUGCUUUGGCUGGGCAACCACGCUUCAGCAUUCUCUCGAACACGGCCAUCCCCUCAAACGGCUUCCCAUCCUUGCAGAGCGCGCCGAUCACCAGCACAUAUGCAUGCUGCGGAAUGUCCUUGCCAAUUCCCCUCUCUUCCAUUUCUUGGAACAAUGCCACGCACUGUGAAAACGUGCCCUCGCUGUAAUGGCACUGCAUCAGUGUAAGGUACGUUAUCUUGUCGGGCGACAGCUCCUCCUGUUCCCUCAUGUGAUCGAGCCGAGCCAUCGCAUCCUGCACCCUCCCGGCGCGGCAGUACCCCUUGAUGAGAAUGUUGUAGGAGACCACGUCAGGGCGAACCGGGUCUUCCGUGGACAUUGCGUCGAACACGUUGACGGCGGUGUCAAGGAGGCCCGCGUUGACGAGGCCGUCGAGGAGGCAGUUGUAGGUGACCCUGGACGGCUCGACGCCGGCGAGGCGCAUGCCGUUCCACGCCCACAGCAGCUCGUCGGCGAGGCCGAGGGCCGCGAGGCUACGGACCAGCGACGCGGCCGACGGCGGCGUGAGGUGCCGCAGCAGGCCGUCCCCGUCCCCGCGGGCGCGCAGCUCGGCGACGAGCCGCCCCGCGUGGCCGGCGGCGUCGGGGGUGGCCUCCCUGGCGCGCGCGAAGGAGUGGAGCAGCGAGACGUAGCAGCCGAGGAGGUGCUGCGGGUGGGCGGCGAGGUCGUCGGUGCCGCCGGGCAGGGCGCGGAAGAAGCGGAGCGACGGGAGCGGGUGGGGCAGGAGCUGCGGGGAGCGCAGCGCGGCGGCGACGAAGGCCGGGGAGAGGCGCAGGAGGAAGGUGCGGCAGAAGGCGCGCAGGUCGGCGGCGAGCGUGGCAGGCGGCGCGCGGAGGACCAGGGAGACGACGCGCGGCAGCCACGGCGACGGGGUGGGCGGCGCGGCCGAGGAGGCGGUGUACGGGCUCGGGUCGGCGAGGUCGGUGUACGGCUCGAUCCACUCCGGCGGAGGGUGGCCGCCGCCGUGGGGGCCCGACGCCCGCCGGCCGCGCGGGACGCUGCAGAACCUUCGCAUCGCUGCAGAGGUGUUGGACGAAGAGAGCGUGGAGGCGUUCUUGAGGCUAGAUUUUGCUCUUUGUCAGUUGUCACGCUUACUUUUCCCAGGGAAUUUUCGCACAUAAUCGCAGCGACAACUUUGCUGGAUUGAAAAUUUUGUAAGGGGUAAUGUUACCCAUCUGACGUUCGCUGGGAGAGGGGUGGCAAGCGAACGCCAUUUGAUAGCAGUUGUAUCUGUGAGGAGCGAUCAAACGACGGCAGUUUUAAAUCGAAAAAUGCCCUCCAUGAAGAAAAUGUCUGAAGAAUCUGUCACCAACUAAAAAUACCAUCUAAAAUGUUUGCAAAUGCCACCCUCCCUGACGAACGUUGGCCGGUUAGCAGGAUACGUCCUGAAAGCUCCAUCUUCCUACCCUGGCGAAAUCGACCUACUGCAAGAGAAUUUUCAUGCCAAGAACAUAAUGUAAGUAGAGUAUAUCCGUAGCUUCAGUGCAAUCCACAAAAAAGGCAAUGAAGCAUCAUCUGUCAUGCGUGUAUGGAAGCAUUACAGAUGGUCAUCAGGCAUUCAGGCGCGAUGAUGCAAUCGUGCAACUGCACUACAUACUUGUCUCAACUACAGGAAAGGAAAGAGCAGCACCCGAACCAAAGACGGCGGGGUCAGAUGGGCGGCGGGUCGUCCCACUGCAGGACGGCGGUGUCGAGGUUCUGCUCCCGCUUGAGCUUGUCCUUGAGGAACCAGUCGCACACCCGCCCGGCGUUGAGCUCCUCGAUCGCCACCCCCUCCUGCUCCGAGAUCACCCGCAGCAGGUUCAGCGACGAGAUCUGACCAAUCCCUCCCAAGAAUCAUUCGUAUCAACACAUGCUAACCAUGAUGUUCUUAAUAAAAUCCAGGUAAACACAUGGCUGCAAACUGCAAACAACUCACGGUGAGGCGGCAGAGGAAGCGCUCGUGGGUGCUGAGCCCGGACAUCUCCACCAGCCCGGCCUCCUCCAGGCUCAGGAACGUCCUCUUCUCCUUCUCCUGCUGCUUCUUCUCGCCGUCACCGCUCUGCUGCUUCUCUUCCUGGCACCUCGUCCUCACCGCCGUCCGCUUUGACGCCGCCGCUCCCGCCCUCGCUGCGAGCGCGGUGGUGCACGCAGUCAGUCACGGGCACGUACUUGCAGGCACGAAUUUAAGCCGGUGCAGAGCGGCGGGUGGUCGACUAACCUGGACUGCAAAGGAAAGCUCGUCGGAGCGACGGCCCGGGCAGCGGGAGCGCCGCCCGCCGCGCUGCGUGGGGUUUGCACGGCGCCACCAUGUGGUGCUGCUGCUGCUGCAUGAUAGCUCACGAGGUUCCUGGCGAGGCGAGCCGGAGGGAGUCGGAAGACGACGACGAUGGGUGUCCGGUGCGAGCAGAUAACGUUCCAUCGCCACGUCCGGAUUUCCUACCCCUCUGACCGAGAACGCUCCGGAAGAAAAGAGUAAAAUGCAUCAUAAGUCCUAAAACUAUGGACGUGUGUCAAUUCAGUCCUAUAACUUUGAAACUGCAAUUUUAGGUCCUAAAACUAUUGGAGGUGUGUCAUUUUAGUCCUAUAACUUUGAAACUGUAGUUUUAGGUCCUAAAACUAUUGAAGGUAUGUCAGUUUAGUCCCAUAACUUUGAAACUACAGGCAAUGAGUGGCAUGAUGGCUUGAGCUCCAACGAGGAGAGUAGACUGGCCACACAGGUGAUGGACGUGCAUGUUGCAACACACAUUGUGACGUCAAAGUGUAUGGACCACUUCUGGGGAAGUAAACACAUAUAAAGAGCUCAUUUGAAAAAAUGCACCAUAGAUGCUAGCCAUGCAAGCUUAGGACCUGAGAUGAACAAACUUACAUAAUUUUGGGACCCAAAACUAUAGUUACAAAGUUAUAGGACUAAGCUGACACACCUUCAAUAGUUUUAGGACCCAAAACUGCAGUUUCAAAGUUAUAGGACUAAACUAACACAUCUUCAAUAGUUUUAGGACUUAUGGUGCAUUUUACUCGGAAGAAAACAACAAAUCCUGAACCAGAAUGCUUGAUCCACAACACAAGGCUAGCAGCCAGCCAGCCAGCCGCUGGCCCUGACCCCGAGCCGUGCAACCCUCAGUUUUACCAAACGAAGCUAAGUAACGGGUGACAGACACCGUUUGCAACAACUAGUCCAAUGUGAACACCUACUUUCACGAACUCACAAAUGAAUCGUAUUUUUUUUACAGAACAAAUCGGCGAAACCAAACGCAAACAGAAAGAAAUUUGUCGGAGAGAAAAGGGGCCGGAGGGUUUGCUAUACAUCGGGUGUGCGGCGCAUCAGGGCAGCUCCAACACGAAUCACCAAACGGACGGCACCAAAUGGUUGUGAACACGUCCGGACGUGUCCAUGGACAGCGCGCGGGUCCGAUCGGCCAUCCAACCAUAGGCACGAAAUGUCCGCCUGCUCGAUCUUUUUUCCUAUGCCUGGAGUAUUGAAAAUAACCAAACAUAAAUAGCACGAUUCUUCGGUGAUUCGAAGAUAAAUAUUCCGAUGCAACAAUAAUUCAAAUGUAAAUAUUGCAAUCCAAACAUAAAGUUCGGGAAUUAUUCCAGAUUUGAAUUCAACUUAUUCGAACAUAUGUUCUACUUGUCUCCUUGCAAUGCUCACAUAUGCUCAAUUUGAUCAUUUCGAAGUUGCGCAUAAGUUCCUCGAUGGCGAAUUUGGUAAUGCAUUUGGAGAAAACUUCAAAUGUCACCGUCCCCCCCCUCCCCCCCAGUUUGGUGCCAAAUCGUGGGAUUUCGAGCGUCCAAACUUUUUCGGACAAAUUAGGUGUCCCUCGUUGGAUGGCCAAAGGUGUCCGGACACUUCGGUCUAGACAUUUGCAGGCAAUUUGGUGAUCUGCGGUUGGCGAUGCCCUUAGCGCCAAUGCAAGGUGGCAUGAUAUAUGCGUGUACACCGACGUCGACAACACUCCUGUAGUUGCUGAUUUCAACGGAGAUGCUCGUGGGUGAAAAAAUAACCCUCGGCGCCACGAUGCUCCCCUCCCCAUCCUUCUCCGCGCCAGUUCAGUUUCUCCUCGGGAUAUUCGACUCAAUGUGAAAUGUCACUAAGGGCUAAGUGUUGAAGAGAAAUAGAGAUUUAAGUAUAUCAAGUGACUUAUAUUAAUGUCGAGUUGGGUAUCUAUAUCUCCCCGACAGGCAUGUACAUACGUUGGUUACAAUGAUUCCAUCUGUUCUAAGAGGCAUGAUGCCCCUUCAACAUCAACAACCUUUGGCAAAGCUGACUUAUAAGUAGUCAGUACAUAGGAAAUCCUAACUGCUAUGUUAGCAUAAAAGUAACGCUGACUUCUAACUAUUAAUAUUUCCUAACACUUCCCUUGGACAACGAUGUUUCUUAGCUUCACUGUCUUGAGAGUGCUGGAUCGUCUUGCCUUUUUAUUGAUAGUCCUUGCUCUUGAAACUUCACGAAUCUUUGAUCUUGUACUAGUUAAGUCCUUCAAAAUCAUGUGGGAAAAGUAUAAGGAGAACUAUAGAAAUUUGAUAUACCAUUAGUGUAUAAUCAAUUGUCAUAUUAAAACCUAUAUGAGAAACCCUUUGGAAAACUCAUAAGGAAAAUAGUACAAUACUUUAUUGACGAGAUGAUAAUUAAUAAGUUAAGUUCCAGGAGAUUUCUCCCCCCGAACUUUGCAAAUUCUGUAGUCAGCUCCUGCCAAUGCCAUGAUGCAUUUUUGAAAUGUUGUUGUUGGUAAAGACUUAGUGAACAAAUCUGUAAGAUUAUCACACGAUUUUGUUUGCAAAAUAUCAAUUUCUUCAUUUUCUAAUAAUUCAUGAGGAAAUAAUAGUUUUGGAGCAACAUGUUUUGUGAUACUACUUUUAAUAUACCCCAGAUGCAUUUGAGUAACACAUGUACAACAUUAUCCUCAUAGAUAAUGGUUGGUGAUUCUAAUGAGCCGAUACGCAUGAUGUUUGAAUAUCAUUGAUUACUCCGCGAAGCCAUGCACAUUCACACGAUUCUUCAUAUAAUACAAUUAUUUUAGAGUGGUUAGUGGAAGUUGCUACUAAAGUCUGUAUUGUUGACUUCCAUGAAAUUGCAGUUUCACCAUAUAAAAAUGCAAACCCUGUUUGUGAGAUGACAUUAAUUAUGGGGAUCAAAAAGAUAACCAUCAUCAGUAUAACCAAUCGGGGCCAUUUCUUGUUUUUUCCCCUAUAGAAUAAACUAAUAACUUUAGUACCAUGCAAUAUCUGAGAUAUUCUUUACUCCUACCAAAUGUCAUUUUGUUGGACCUGCGAUAUGUCUAGCCAACAAAUUUACUGCAAAGGCAAUGUCUUUUCUAGUACAAUUUGCGAGGUACAUUAGUGCUCUUAUGGCAUUAAGGUAUACACUUAUGACAUUAUGUCUUGUGUACAUAUUUGCAAGACUUUUAGCGGCUUUUCUAGUGGUCCAUUUCUGGACUUACUUGUAUAUUUACCAAUUAUCCCGAUCACAAACAAGGGCACGUUCAUAUUUAAAUACACACAUUGCUUCUGAUAGCUGAAGCAUAAGGAACAAACAUUAUCUAAUUAGUACAUAAUGGUUCCUUGGACACUAAAAUGUCCACCUUUGUUGCCCUUAACUUUAGUAGCAGGUGCGAUAGAGUAAUACCACGGAAUAUUUUCUUUCGUACUCUAUUGACGUAUGUCGUCAUAAUAGAACUUUGACUCCUUCUGGACCUAUAUCUUGGGGAAACUCGAUACAAACAAAGUAUAAGGCAUCACCAUGAUCCUUUAUGUCGUAAAGAGAAGAUAGAAAUUUCUUGACCUGCCAAAAAAAUUCCAUCUUCGCAAGGUAGUAAACUUAAUCCCCCUCGUUUUAUAGUAUGAGUGCCCCAAUGCUCUUCUUAUUUCAGAAUUGAAUUUCUUGAGGCAACAUACCUUAUGUUAACUUCAUAUAUCUGACGAAACCUUACGGUUCAGUCAUACACUACAUUCUUAACUUAGUCAACACAAUAGCAUGUUAUAAUGAUAACCCAAGCAUCACAAUAACUCGCCAAGGAAAAUCUAUUGAGUUUCAUAUGUCAUUAGAGCUCGUUAUCACGCAAGCCUCUAAGAUGAUCAUUCACACACAUUAUCAAUCACAGGGUAAUUGUUAAGUCUCAACAUUAAGGAGACAACAUUAUGAGCAUCACAAAAACAUCAAGCAUGUAUUAUCCAUGCAAUGAGAUGAAUCAAAGAGAUGCUUAAUCCAUAUUCAUAAAUAACACAUGAAAAUAAUCAACGUUGGUCAGAAUAGCAUCAUAUGCCAUCAUAACAUUUUUUUAUUAAAUCUCUAGUCAAAACUUCUCAUCAGUUCCAUUUUGACCAGAGAGACAUAAAAUCACAUAAUUAUGAGCAAGAACUUUGGCUAAAUUAAUAGCUAACAUGAAUUAACAUAAAGUGACAACAUAAAACCAUGUUUGCCAUCAUACACAAUGAUACCUUUUGUCACUAAAGUUGAUACCGAUAAUAACAGUGAACAUAAGUGUGAAAAAUAUCAUUAAAAUUCCCAAUGACAUAAAUGAAAAGGACAUGGAAUUAACAUAAAAAUAUACAUGUCAUUGCCACUGAGUAAACACCAAAAUUGAAAUUUAUAGUGAAAAAUGACAUUAAAAUUAUCGUCAGGAUAUGAUAAGAUUUUCCAAAUAAUAAAUCUGAACAUAAAUUUACAUAAGGAUUCACAUAUAGGGAUGGCAAUGGGUAGGGUAUGGGCGGGUACAACCUCCAAACCCAUACCCAUAGAAACUUUCUAUACCCACCCACUUCAAUACCCAUGGGCAUAAAUUGAUACCCAUGCCCAUACCCAUCGGGUAUCCUGUAACCAAUGGGUAUCCAUUGGGUACCAUAUAUAGCAUUUAAAUUUUGAUUUUUUUUAGAGAAAUGAGUCUGAAAUUCAAGUGAUAUGGACGGUCAUUAUGGCACCAACAUAGUCUCCUCCGAUGGUGGCUUCUUGGAGGCAUCAAGGGAUUAUGAGCAGCGGUUGGUGGAAGCCCGACGUAGUGGGAAUGAGCAGCUGGAAUUGGGGGUCACUGGGUCGAGAGUUUAGAGGAGUCCGAUGGCGAUGAGUCAAGAUUUCAUUGUUUCAAGAAGUUAUAUAUAUAGGACGUCAGAGGAGUGUCGAGCAGGCGAUUGCAGGCCUAUGACCUAUGGCUGGUUUAGAGAAUACAAGAUUUAGGGUUGGGCCAUAGGAGUUAGAUGCUUACCCCACAUGUCAUAGGAAUAAUUUGGAUUUAUUAAUUUCUUUUGGGUAUCCAUUGGGUUACCCAUGGGCGCAAUUGAAUACCCAUGCCCUACCCAUAGAUUUUGCGGGUAUGGAUACCCAUUACCCGUGGGUACAAUAUCUUUCCAAGUCAUGCCCAUGCCCAUUGUUUUGCCCAUGGACAUAAAUAUUAAUUGCAUAAAAAUAGUCCUGUCAACUAAACAUCAAUGUGUGUGCAACUAGACUACAUUGCCGCGCCAACUAAGCAUAUGUUUGUGCAACUAGUGUCCUGCCAACUAAACAUCAAUGUGUGUGCAACUAGACUAAACUACAAGCCAACUGAGCAUAUGCCAACUAAACAUCAAUGUGUGUGCAACUAGACUAAACUACAAGCCAACUGAGCAUAUGUGUGUGCAACUAGUCUUCCUGCCAACUAAACAUCAAUGUGUGUGCAACUAGACUACAUUACAAGCCAACUAAACAUCAAUGUGUGUGCAACUAGACUACAUUACAAGUGGAGGUUGAACAUCGACUUUCUCGGGGCAAUAGACUAGUUGCACAUCAAAGUUGUCGUGGUUGCUAGGUUGCAACCUCAUACGAAUGUGCAGCUCCAAACAUUAGUUUUGGAAAAAGUUGCACGAUGUAGUACUAAAGUUGCACAAUAUAUCAUCAAAGUUGCAUAAAAAAAUUUGUUGUAACAUACCCAUAUGGGAUCUAGUUUCAAAGAUCUCGUCACGAAGAACCCAACGAUGAAGACGGAUUUGAAUUCCGACAUGUGGUUUGAAAGAUAUGACUUUUUAAAAAUUGAAGAUCCGGAAUAAAUACACGUGAAUCUGUUUUGUUGUCCAUCAGAUAUAAUAAGUUUGACUGCAUUUAAUGAUCAAUCACAUGCACUAGCAAACAAAUCCUACACAUGCAUGUGUGUGGCAGAGCGCGGCCCUCGUUUUCUCCAGAAGGUGCGCGUGCACUUCGAAGAUUUUAGGGAAAUUUUUUGGCCCAAAAUGUUUUUUUACCCACGGUUAGGCCAAGCUCAGCAGCUAAAACACUUUUUUUUUGAGAAUUAGCAGCUAAAACACUUAAAAAGAAAAAAACUGUUGGCUUGGCUAAGACAACCUGGGCCGAAGCCCAUGACCACUUUCGGUCCCUUAAGCCGCCUGCAGCCCAUCUGCUGCACCGCGCUGGUCUGAGCCGUCGAUCCAACCGGACGGCUGAGAUCGAUCCAGGCCAGAUCAAAACGGCCAGCCGAGGGACCCUACCUCAUUUCUCUCCUCUCCCCUGUUUUUCUCGGUCCCGUUCUGGAGAGGCGACAUCGACGGCGACGCGCUGCCCCCCUUCUUCCAUGGCUGCGUGGUGGCUUUGCUCACCGGAGCAACGUUCCAUGGACUUGGUCCGGCGCGCUCCUCCGUCGAGCAUGGCUGUCGGCGCCGCAUUCGUUCGGGACAGCGAGGGGAAGGAUAUCUGCUUCGUGCGGAUCCAUUAGUCGGCGACGGCGGCGAGCACAACCAGGCGGUCGAACAGGCGCGCGUCCAUGAGCACGGCGGCGGCAUUCCGCGCGUCGCUCAGGUGGGAGGCGACGGCGUCCUGGCACUCUCGCACUCGCAUAGCGGUGAGUGCCUAGCGGGCCCCGAAGGGAAAAGGCGAUGAUGUGGCGCGUUAGUGAGAUAUAUUCUUGAUCCCAAUCUGUGUGCUUUCAUGCUCAAUUGGGUGCGAAAACCUAAUUGCAAAAUUAGGGUAUCGAAUUGGGGAAACUUUUUUGAUCUAGGGUCUCGGAAAUUGGGGAUGUUCUUCUGAUUAUGUGCUCUUGAUUCCCUUUUUUCUAAUUAGCCUGACUCAGUACUGAAAACUAAUAAAUGUUUUGUACAUAAAUGUUAGCAUUAGACCUUAACUUAGAUUAAUUAAAAUUGACGAACACAGGUAGUACUUAUCAUAGCCAAUUAGAAUGAAUCUUGAAUAUCAACAGUGGGCAAUUUAGAUGAACUUAAAACAGUAGCAGCAUAUUGGCAAACAGAGUUGUAAAAAUCAAUCUUAAACAUAAUUCCCUAAACAUAAGACUGAUAUACUAAUCAUGAAUUUGGGAUCUAUUACAAUCAGGGAGGCGUCUGAUACCAUUGUUAAAAUAUUUGCAUCACUAGGAUGCGUCUUCCUGAGGAGACUCGGCGGGCACCUCACCGGCCGGCAGCUCAACCCCUUCCCCACCCACAUCCCCUCACUGCCGCCGGUAAUCGACGUCGGGCAAAGCCUGCCGGCGGCUGGCGGCGGCGGGAUCCGCUCUCUCCAGCGAAGCUCGCCACACAACUCCCCUGUUUUCCUCCCUCCACCUCCCACCACGCCGGCCAUCUCCUCCGUCUGCCCGGAUCCGCCCGUCCUCCCCACUCACCUGCCUCGGUGCUCGCCGGAUCUGGCUGAGCGCGCCCUUUGCGGCGUGUGGCUGCCUUUGGGUCGAUGCCCCCACGCGGAUCCAGAUCCAUUUGUGCCGUGACCUCCUUCGCUCGAUCUGCUCCGCCCUCCCCGGCUCCGUCUGCACCAGCUGCACGACGUGCGCUCCGGGUGGCGCCCCUUUGUUCAGUGCGUGCCCCAAAACCGUGGUGGUCAUCAGGCUGGCUCGGGGUCUUCCACCUCUGCGCCCGUGCGCCGCAUCCCUCCGCUCCGGCAAAACUACCCUUCCGCGCGUCGUGCGUCCGGCUGUUCGCGGCCUGCUGCUCUCUUGAGCCGCCACGCCACCCAGGCAGGGCUGCGCCGCCACUGGCGUGGCGCGUGUGUCGGCCGUCGCCCACACCACCCCUCCCUCUGAUCCAUGCUCAUGGGUGCUCGGUGGAUUGUCGCGGUUCCCCUGACUCGGGCGGGCCAUGCGGCUCCGGCGCCCUCGACCUGGUCGCCUCCGCUGCCGGGCUUUGCAGCUGCGUUUGGUUUGUGCCCGUGUCAGCGGCGUCUAGCAUGGAGGACUGCUGCCCCUCGCCGCAGUUCCCUCUGACCUUCGGCUCUCUGUCUCCGGGAGAAAUCCCUUCGCUGGUUCCUUGCCAGCGGCAGCAACGGCGAUGCCUUCCCGGCGCCGCUUCAUCUUCUUGGAGGCGCCGCUGUGGAGUUAAGUGUAGCUAUGGUUUUGGACGAAAGUCCUGCGAUGAUGGCGCCUGUGGGCGUCAUUCAACCUUCCUGAAGGUGUCGCAAAAACACAUGCUUCAAUCCACUCACCUACGCCCGCCCAUUCCAUCAUCGACUUUGUCCCUCCGUCGCCACUCACCGCCAUCCAUCCAUCCGUCUGGUGUGUUGUCCAUGUUGUGCUUGCUCAGGUCCCUUCCAUGCCUGUUGUUGUCUUGCGGCAGGUUGGGGUCAACAGUGGUUUGUGUUGUUGCUGCCCUACUUCCUAUGUGUUCGUCUUCGGUGUUGUUCCCCGGUGUCGGCCAUAUUGCUGUGCAUGUUCAAGCCCCUCCCAUGGUGGCCGUUGUGUUGCGGUGAGCUUAGUGCUCUUGGUGUUGUCCCGGUUCAUCUUUGCUCUUCGACGACGCAAGAUGCCUCCACAGCUUGCUAAUCAUCCCGAAUUCCCGUGGCGGAGCUCCAAGUCAAGGUUCGUGUUGUCACUCGUUCGUUGUGGAUACUCCUGAGUAGUGUCGUGAGGUUCGGUAUGCACGCCGGUGUGGUGCGCUAGGUCGCUUGCUUAGUCCUGGUAUUGUGAUCCUUCGAUGACACCCCUCUUCUACUUGUGCCUCCCUGGUGUUGGUCCUUUGGUCUGCUAGCUAGGUCAUCCCUUGUCUGUGGCAUCCAUUUUUCUUCUUUUCUUCAGUCAUUGAUGUGCGGCAUUUUUUCUCUCUCUUCUUCUGUAACCUUGUUGAUUGUACGGUUUUUGGCCCGGUUUCCCUUAUAAACGGGGUCAAUUUGUUUAGGUUUUCGAUCCUGUUUCCCUUAUAAACUGGAUCAUCCAAAGUUAAGAGGUGACUCUUGGCUUUGGUAGCUUUUUGAGCAAUAUAUUCAGGUGGGGACCUCCCUCCCGGUGACCGUUCAAAAAAAAGGAUGCCAUGCACAUUAAUAGGUUGCAUCUAGACCUCUUAAUUGUCAUGAAUAGAGAGAGAUUAGGGAUUCAUUACUUGUCAUAGAAGUUGACAUGAUCUCCUGCUUGUUGCAGGAGAAAUGGAAGGAUGAUGUAGUCUAAGUAGACGAUCUCCUUGAUGUCCUGAUUUCUUCGGGCCGCCACCGGCACUGUUCUGUGACGGCGGCAUGAUGACUAAGUCUUCUCACCGUUGCAGCAGCUCCCCCAUAUCGGAUUAGGAUAGAUUCAUGAGGGCUAGUGAACUAUAUGUAAAACCUGCCCUAAGCCCCCCUUUCCUUUACAUUUGAGCAGUUGUACGGGAAGGGACCUAAACCCUCAGUUGGUUUUUGGGCACCCCCAAUAAGGGUGCUAUCGUUGGGUCCAGAGCGUUGGUUCAUGGGCCUCCCCCCCUUUUUUUUUCUCUCGUACGGUUAUUUGACUAUUUUUUUCUUUUAACCGACAUAUCAAUUCAAUAGCUACUACUUUGCAAGCUACUGGAGAAGGCGCUGAAGGGUGCAUGCCACCUCCAUGUGCUCCGCAGGUUUGCCAAUGACGCGGUUGAUACGUCUCCAUCGUAUCUACUUUUCCAAACACUUUUGCCCUUGUUUUGGACUCUAACUUGCAUGAUUUGAAUGGAACUAACCCGGACUGACGCUGUUUUCAGCAGACUUUCCAUGGUGUUAUUUAUGUGCAGAAACAAAAGUUCUCGGAAUGACCUGAAACUCCACGGAACAUCUAUUUGGAAAAUAAGAAAAAUACUGGAAGAAAAAUCCACGUCAGGGGGCCCACACCCUGUCCACGAGGGUGGGGGGCGCGCCUGCCGCCCCUGGGCGCGCCCCCUACCUCGUGGGCCCCCUGGCUCUCCACCGACCUCAACUCCAACUCCAUAUAUUCACUUUCGGGGAGAAAAAAAUCAGGGAGAAGGAUUCAUCGCGUUUUACGAUACGGAGCCGCCGCCAAGCCCUAAAACCUCUCGGGAGGGCUGAUCUGGAGUCCGUUCGGGGCUCCGGAGAGGGGGAUUCAUCGCCGUCGUCAUCAUCAACCAUCCUCCAUCACCAAUUUCAUGAUACUCACCGCCGUGUGUGAGUAAUUCCAUCGUAGGCUUGCUGGACGGUGAUGGAUUGGAUGAGAUCUAUCAUGUAAUCGAGUUAGUUUUGUUAGGGUUUGAUCCCUAGUAUCCACUAUGUUCUGAGAUUGAUGUUGCUAUGACUUUGCUAUGCUUAAUGCUUGUCACUAGGGCCCGAGUGUCACUGGACUAUGCUUAAUGCUUUUCAUGAAUAUAUGUGAGUUCUUGAUCCUAUCUUGCAAGUCUAUAGUCACCUACUAUGUGUUAUGAUCCGGCAACCCCGAAGUGACAAUAAUCGGGACCACUCCCAGUGAUGAGCAUAGUUUGAGGAGUUCAUGUAUUCACUAUGUGCUAAUGCUUUGUUCUGGUACUCUAUUAAAAUGAGGCCUUAAUAUCCCUUAGUUUCCAUUAGGACCCCGCUGCCACGGGAGGGUAGGACAAAAGAUGUCAUGCAAGUUCUUUUCCAUAAGCACGUAUGACUAUAUUCGGAAUACAUGCCUACAUUACAUUGAUGAAUUGGAGUUAGUUCUGUGUCACCCUAUGUUAUGAUUGUUACAUGAUGAACCGCAUCUGGCAUAAUUCUCCAUCACCGAUCCAAUGCCUACGAGCUUUUCACAUAUUGUUCUUCGCUUAUUUACUUUUCCAUUGCUACUAUUACAAUCACUACAAAACCCAAAAAUAUUACUUUUGCAACCGUUACCGUUACUUCCAUACUACUUUGCUACUAAAUACUUUGCUGCAGAUAUUAAGUUAUCCAUGUGUGGUUGAAUUGACAACUCAACUGCUAAUACUUGAGAAUAUUCUUUGGCUCCCCUUGUGUCGAAUCAAUAAAUUUGGGUUGAAUACUCUACCCUCGAAAACUGUUGCGAUCCCCUAUACUUGUGGGUUAUCAAGACUAUUUUCUGGCGCCGUUGCCGGGGAGCAUAGCUCUAUUCUUUGAGUCACUUGGGAUUUAUAUCUGCUGGUCACUAUGAAGAACUUGAAAGACGCUAAGACAACAAUUUAUCCCUCAACUACGAGGGGAGGUAAGGAACUGCCAUCUAGCUCUGCACUUGAUUCACCUUCUGUUUUGAGUAAGCUUGCGACACCUAAACCUGCUUCUGCUAUUCAUUCUGAUAUGUCACAUGUUAUUGAUGAUACCACUUCUGCUAUGCAUAAUACUUAUGAUGAAACUACUUCUAUGCUUGAUACUACUGUGCCACUUGGUGAAUUUCUUGAUGAACAGCUUGCUAGGGUUAGAGAGAAUGAAAUUAUUGAUAAUAUUGAUGAAAGUGAUGAUGAAGACUCUCGACCUAAUAAAUAUGAAUUGCCUGUUGUGCCUGAGGGCUAUGUUAUGGAUGAAGCAAUUGCUAAAGAAAUUUUUGCUUGCAAAGAUAGAUAUGAUGUUAAGAAAUUAUUAGCUAAAUGGAAGCAGCAAUCUCUUAAUGCUAGAAUGAAACCUGACCCUGCUUUUGCUACUUCACCUAUCUGUGUUACUGAUAAGGAUUAUGAAUUCUCUGUUGAUCCUGAUAUAGUUACUUUGGUUGAAUUCGAUCCUUUUCAUGGCUAUGAAUCUGAAACUGUUGUGGCACAUCUUACUAAAUUAAAUGAUAUAGCCACCCUGUUCACUAAUGAUGAGAAUUCUCGCUACCUUUAUAUCCUCAAAAUAUUUUCGUUCUCAUUAAAGGGUGAUGCUAAGAUAUGGUUCAGUUCUCUUGAUCCUGGUUGUGUCCGUAGUCCCCAGGAUAUGAUUUAUUACUUCUCCGCUAAAUAUUUCCCCGCUCAUAAGAAACAAGCUGCUUUAAGGGAUAUAUACAACUUUCUGCAAAUUGAAGAAGAGAGUCUCCCACAAGCUUGGGGGAGGCUUCUCCAGUUACUUAAUGCUUUGCCUGAUCAUCCUCUCAAGAAAAAUGAAAUACUUGAUAUCUUUUAUAAUGGACUAACUGAUGCUUCCAGAGAUUACCUGGAUAGUUGUGCUGGUUCUGUUUUCAGGGAAAGAACAUCGGAUGAAGCUGAAAUUCUAUUGAAUAAUAUGUUGACAAAUGAAAAUAAUUGGACACUUCCUGAGCCAGCUCCUGAGACAAUUCCUAAACCAACUCCAAAGAAGAGAGGUGUUCUAUUUCUCAGUCCUGAAGAUAUGCAAGAGGCAAAGAAAUCCAUGAAAGAAAAGGGUAUAAAAGCUGAAGAUGUUAAGAAUUUACCUCCUAUUGAAGAAAUACAUGGUCUUAAUUUACCGCCUGUUGAAGAAACAUAUGAUCUUAAUCCAUCACCUAUUGAAGAAGCUCAUGGUCUUGAUAACCCGACACAGGUAGUAAAGGUAAAUUCUCUCUAUAGAUUUGAUAAAGCUCAAAUCCCUCCUACUAAAAUUGCUAGCCAAUGCUUGGAUGAGUUUGAUAAUUUUAUGGUUAAGCAAGAAGAUUUCAAUGCUUAUUUUGGUAGACAAUUAAAACAAAAUGCUUAUAUGAUUGAACACUUGGGUGAUUACAUGUCUAGAGUUAAAGGUGAACUUUAACUCAUUAGUAAACAUGCUUCUAUGGUUACUACUCAAGUAGAACAAGUACUUAAGGCUCAAAAUGAUUUGCUCAAUGAAUUGAAUAGUAAGAAUAAUGAUUAUUCUGUUAGAAUGGCUACUAGAACUGGUAGAAUGACUUAGGAACCUUUGUAUCCUGAAGGCCACCCUAAGAAAAUUGAGCAAGAUUCUCAGAGAAAUAAUAUUGAUGCACCUAGUCCUUCUAAAAAGAAGAAAAAGAAAAAUGAUAGGACUUUGCAUGCUUCUAGUGAACCUAUUGCAGAACCACCUGAGAAUCCAAAUGAUAUAUCUAUUUCCGAUGUUGAAACACAAUCUGGUAAUGAACAUGAAACUAAUGAAAAUGCUAAUGAUGAUGUUCAUGAUGAUGCUCAACCUAGUAAUGAUAAUGAUGUGGAAAUUGAACCUGCUGUUGAUCUUGAUAACCCACAAUCAAAGAAUCAAUGUUAUGAUAAGAGAGACUUUGUUGCUAGGAAACAUGGUAAAGAAAGAGAACCAUGGGUUCAGAAACCCAUGCCUUUUCCUCCCAAACCAUCCAAGAAAAAGGAUGAUCAGGAUUUUGAGCGCUUUGCUGAAAUGAUUAGACCUAUCUUUUUGCGUAUGCGAUUAACUGAUAUGCUCAAAAUGAAUCCUUAUGCUAAGUACAUGAAAGAUAUUGUUACUAAUAAAAGAAAGAUACCGGAAGUUGAAAUUUCCACCAUGCUUGCUAAUUACACUUUCAAGGGUGGAAUACCAAAGAAACUUGGAGAUCCAGGAGUACCUACUAUACCAUGCUCCAUUAAAAGAAACUAUGUUAAAACUGCUUUAUGUGAUCUUGGAGCCGGUGUUAGUGUUAUGCCUCUCUCUUUAUAUCAUAGACUUGAUUUGAAUAAGUUGACACCUACUGAAAUAUCUUUGCAAAUGGCUGAUAAAUCAACUGCUAUACCUGUCGGUAUUUGUGAGGAUGUGCCUGUUGUGGUUGCAAACAUUACUAUUUUAACGGACUUUGUUAUUCUUGAUAUUCCCGAGGACGAUAGUAUGUCUAUUAUUCUGGGAACACCCUUUUUGAAUACUGCAGGGGCUGUUAUUGAUUGCAACAAAGGCAAUGUCACUUUUCAUGUUAAUGGUAAUGAGCAUACGGUACACUUUCCGAGGAAACAACCUCCAGUUCAUAGUAUCAACUCUAUUGGAAAAAUUCCAUCGAUUAUAUUUGGAGGUUUUGAAUUUCCUCUACCUACUGUCAAGAAGAAAUAUGAUAUUCUUAUUAUAGGGGAUGUGCAUAUCCCCGUUGAGGUAACAUAGUGUUAUUCGAAAUUUCUCCGGUUCCAUGUUAUUCGGAAUGAGUUUGUUAACAAGACUUGAUCAACCUUGUUAGUGGAUUCCUUUUGAUGAGCAUGAGAUGGAUGAAACUAGAAGGCACAACCUUCUGUACCCUCCUUCUACUUUCUGUUAUUUAGUUGAAAUAAAGUAAAAAUAGUAUUUUUCUGUCUGUUUUCUGAUUUAUCCGUGCAAUAUAAAAAUACCCUGAAAAUAAAAGUUCUCCAAUUGCCCCAAAAUUAAAAUAUGAUUUUUUCUGGAAUAUUUGAGAAUAUUUGGCACUGAGAACACAACAGGAGGGGCAAGCACCUGGCCACGAGGGUGGAGGGCGCGCCCCCUGCCUCGUGGGCCCACGGUGGCCCCCUCCACUUAUUCCUGCACCCACACACUUCUUCUUCCUCCCAAAAAAAUCACCAUCCAGCUCAAGCAUGAGUUCUAGCUCAUUUUGCUGCGAUUUUCGAUCUCCUUGCUCAAAGCACCUCUCACAAAACUGCUUGGGGGGAUUGUUUCUUGGUAUGUGACUCCUCCAUUGGUCCAAUUAGUUUUUGUUCUAGUGCUCUAUUCAUUGCAAAUUUGUGCUGCCUAGGUGACCAUGUUCUUGAGCUUGCAUGUCAAAUUUAUAUGGUUCCAAGUAGUUCUAAUGCAUGAUAUAGUCUCUAGGCACUUGUAGGAGUAGUUGCUAUCAAUAUUGUUGAGCUUGGUUCACCUUUAUUUUGAAGUUACUAAAAAUUUCAGAAAUUUUUCAGAAGAAUAAAUAUGCUUAGGAAAAUGUUCCAAGGUGGUUCUUCAAGGAAGCAAGGACCCAGGCUUGCAAUGCGUGAUGCUGACGAUGAGUCACCGAGGGACGCUCCAGUGCGACCUUGUGAAUGGCCUUCAGAAAAUUUUAUGGAUCGAGCGGGAAUCAAGGAAGAAUUUAACGCAUAUUUGCGUAAUGCUGAUCUUGUGAGCUUUGAGGCAGAAAAAUGCCGCCAAUACCACUAUCUCACUAGUUCCUUUGUGAGGAGGUUUGAAUUUUCAGCUUCACGUAAUUCUCCAACUGUCCUGUUUGAUCUUUAUGAAAAAUCUUAUACGAUGGACUUAGAGGAUUUUACUUCUGCUUGCAAACUUCCAUAAUGGGGUAGUGCUAGUGAACCCCGCAAAUCUGAAUUUAGAAAUUUUCUUGCUAGUAUAACUGUGGGGGAAUCUAGAGAUAUAGCACAAGCUACUAUAGGGAGCAUUCAUUUUCCUGCUAUACAUUAUUUUGCUCUCUUCAUAGGUAGGUGCAUAAAUGGUAAAGAUGAAGCAUGUCAUAUGUGUGUUCCUGACCUCAGUAUUCUUAGGAGUGCUGUGUUAGGAGACAAAUCUUAUAAUUUGGGAGCCAUUGUUGCACGUAGGUUGCAUAAUAAUAGAUUUAAUGGAGAUUUCUUUGGUGGAAUUUAUGCAACCCGCUUAGCUGAUUUUCUUGGUGUAACCAUACGUAAUGAUGAUAUUGAAUUGCCUCCUGCUUACUUAGACUUUAAUGCUGUUCACCACCAGUUUGUUGAGAGGAAUGAAUCACCUCUCCAGUAUCGCUUAAUCUUUGACAGACGUCGUGCUGUCCGUAUUACUCUCCCUGCUCCCGCCUUUUUUGAUUAUCAGGCAAAAGGAAGAUAUGUUAUUACCAGAGAGGAGGCAGAUGAGUACGAGAGGAGGGCAGAAGCCGCUCGCCGCCACGCUGCAGCUCAGGAGGCGAUAGCCGCUGCAUCUCAGUACGACCCCGGCUAUAACUACAGAUAUCCGCCAGGCCACCCGUGGCAAUAAACCAACUUAGGCCAAAAGCCUAAGCUUGGGGGAGUACGUAUUUCCCACCGACAUUACAUUUAUGUCCACACACUCAUUGCUAGAUGUCGGUGCUCAUACUCUUUCACUGUAAUAUCCAUGCUAGUUUAUUUUCCUUUUCUUGCUCUCUUCUUGUGUGUUUGAUAAACUUUAAGAAAAACCAAAAAAAAA